UACGGAGGGUGCAAGCGUUAUCCGGAAUCACUGGGCGUAAAGGGCGCGUAGGUGGUCUAUCAAGUCCGAUGUCAAAUCCCGGGGCUCAACCCCGGUUCGGCGUUGGAUACUGCUAGGCUUGACGACUGGAGAGGUGAGUGGAAUUACCAGUGUAGCGGUGGAAUGCGUAGAUACUGGUAGGAACACCUAUUGCGAUGGCAGCUCACUGGACAGUCCGUGACACUGAGGCGCGAAAGUGUGGGGAGCAAACCGG
rnacentral:misc_RNA from 1 species